rnacentral:rRNA from 1 species
UGGGGAAUUUUGGACAAUGGGCGAAAGCCUGAUCCAGCAAUGCCGCGUGUGUGAAGAAGGCCUUCGGGUUGUAAAGCACUUUUGUCCGGAAAGAAAUCCUUGGCUCUAAUACAGUCGGGGGAUGACGGUACCGGAAGAAUAAGCACCGGCUAACUACGUGCCAGCAGCCGCGGUAAUACGUAGGGUGCAAGCGUUAAUCGGAAUUACUGGGCGUAAAGCGUGCGCAGGCGGUUUGCUAAGACCGAUGUGAAAUCCCCGGGCUCAACCUGGGAACUGCAUUGGUGACUGGCAGGCUAGAGUAUGGCAGAGGGGGGUAGAACUCCACGUGUAGCAGUGAAAUGCGUAGAGAUGUGGAGGAAUACCGAUGGCGAAGGCAGCCCCCUGGGCCAAAUACUGACGCUCAUGCACGAAAGCGUGGGGAGCAAAACAGGAUUAGAUACCCUGGUAGUCCACGCCCUAAAACGAUGUCAACUAGUUGUUGGGGAUUCAUUUCCUUAGUAGCGUAGCUAACGCGUGAAGUUGACCGCCUGGGGAGUACGGUCGCAAGAUUAAAAACUUAAAGGAAUUGACGGGG